GGGGCCUUAGCUCAGCUGGGAGAGCGCCUGCUUUGCACGCAGGAGGUCAGGGGUUCGAGCCCCCUUGGCUCCA
rnacentral:tRNA from 1 species